UCUCGAAUUUCCACCAGCCGCCAAUUGUGCAGCCCAAGCGCGGCCAGACGACUUUGCAGGCUAAUCUCAGCUUCUCCGGCGUAGAUCUCGGUGGUGGCAUGGUCAGCGCGAUGAAGCAGGACUUGGAUCGCGGGAGCUUGGGGCUUACGGUUAAGAUUUUCUCAGUGAUUAAAUUUAGGAAUGGGAAAUGGAAGACCAAGUCUCGUUACAUGAGGGCUUACUGUCCUGGUGUGAGUUUCGGCUUUGUUUCGAGUAACAAGUCUGGCAUCUUCUUGAAUCCAUAUCAGGAAUGCCAGGUUUAUCUUUACUCCAAGUGAAAUUGAUGUAUGUUUGUUAGAUGCAUCUAUAGAGCAAGUAGUAGAUCGAUGCAAACUACCUAAAUUAACCAAUAUUAUUUCCGGUCUCAUUGGCUUUGAUUUGAUCCAUGUAUACUUCAUUAUAUGAUGCUUCUACAGUUAAAUAAAUUCUUUUAACUUGGGAUCAUUCGACCUGUUGUAGCUCACCUUUGUGCGAUUGCGAUUGAUCUUUGUUUUCAUUUCUAAAUGCGAUAAAUGAUAGCUUUUGGCUGAAGAUGUUAAGUUACAUGAGAUAGAAUCCCUGAUAAUUGAGUGUUGUUUUGUAGUUAUAUCGUGAAGUGUUUGGUUUCUAUAUGUUGCCUGGCUCUUUGUAGUCUAUAUUUCAGCUUCUAUCAUUUGCUUUAUGAACUAGCCUUUAUUUUACUUGCUAUUCAAUAUGUAUGUCAGUUCUCACUCCUUAUGAUGAAUAUAUAUUUGAACUUCGAAUUUUUUUCAUUGUGAUGAAUAUAUGAAUCAUAUGAGUAUGAUUUUUCCAAAUUCUCUCUCAUCACCGAACGAACUUAUGUGCUUUUUAUACUGAUGUGCAUCAUUAACAUGUACUUGAUUUCCUGUACAACAAUGUGCAUGGUCUCAAUGUGCGGUUCCCUUUUUAGGUCUGUUGUAAUGCCCUGAUUUUUCUGUUCAUAGUUUACUGUUUAUCAUAGUUGAAAUCAUUUUUAGUAUUUCGUGAUUGGAAAUUCAUUGGAAUAUUUAUGCAAAUAACUAUCCUUCCAUAACUGGUUACAGAUUUUGUUCUUGUCCGGGAGCAUAGUAAUUACAGAACUUCCUUAAAAAAUGCAGAACAGUUAGUUAUAAAACUGUUUUGGUCUGGCUUUCUGGUAUUGAUGAUUUUCCUUGAGAAGUGGCUUAACCCUUGGACAGCAACCGUAUCAUUGAAUUAAUUGACCUUUGUCGUGACGUUACUAACUUCCUUUACAUCAAGCUCCAUAUUUUUGGUUUCACAUAAAUUGAAACACGUGUUGCUAUCUAGUCAAUUCUAGGUUUACGUCAAGUCUGGCGAAUAAAUGUAACGUGUAAUAGGUUGUGCUAUCAUCAUUUAUCAUACAAAUAUGUGCCAGGGGUUCCACUGAAAAAAAUUAACACAUCACUGCUUUCAUGGACAAUAAAAAUUUCCUUCAUGUUUUUUCAGGUUCAUUUAAAUUUCUAAUUAGCUUUAAUAGAGUCUAUCAAGGGAAAUAGUAGAAUAAAAAGCUUAUUAUUAUUCAUAAGUUUUUUCCCUGAAACCUGUAGAUUGAUAGUAGGUUGGUUAUUUACAAAGAUAAAAACUUAUGGCUUGCCACAUCUCGCCAUAUUAUCUGUUAAUGCAGCAUAGUCCUUUUUGUGAGUCUAUUUGCCAAUGAAGCAUGUAGGCAUUUACUCACAUGAUGGUCCAAUAUAUUUACAAUACAAAACUUAUAUGUUAAUAUAUUGUUCCUUCAACUGAAUCAAAGCUAAGGUUCAGAUUUGAUUACAUGAUCUCUUUCAUUAUCUGUGAGUUGAUUGCAUUGUUUGGAAAUAACUUAAGUUUUUUGUUGUAAAAAAAAGAAAAGAAGAACGAGAUUCUCAACGUUUACUAUUGUUUGCAUGAAAAUGUUUAUCCUCCAAACCUACAUUGUAGUCUUGGUUAUAUAAGUGCUGUCAAUUCAUGAUUCUAUUCUUCUUCAGUAGUAAUCAAAUGCAGGCACAUCUUCUUCUAUUGACAAGUCAUUGAAAGGGAUAUGAUCAUGAAACAUCUUGGUUUGUACUUCAAACAAGAGAAAUAUUAUACACCUAACUUAUUCCUCAAAAUCUAGCAUGGCGUUUCCAUCACUACAUGGUAAUAAGCUUCGCAAUCAGGCUGUUUGUGAAUAAAUCAAUUACAAUUAUCAGUUGGUGAGCGGAGUUAGAGCCUGCAUUUUUAAAUACAAAUGGAGAGUUCCAAAAAAAACUUUAGUGGUCCUAUGCCCUUUCUCAAAUAUUAUGUGUUUAUCUUAGUUUCAAGGAGUAAUUCGGAUAACUUACUCCUAGUUAUUGACUGACAAUUUCGGUUGAUGGAAGGCUGAGCAGUUGCAAAAUUUCCAGCGUCGUAUUUUUAUACUAUGGUGAGGAAGGAGGACAAUUUUCCUGCUUCUCAAUUUUGUAACAGCCCUUCAAUUCUCUCAAGCCAUUUCAUUUUACGGUGGUAUGGAAAAUGUUAGUAUGUUUCCUAUUAUAGCUUUGCGAAAGAGGUAAACCAUGGUCUAUGUAUGCUAUCCAUGUAGCUGAGUUAUCCAUCGUGCUGUUUACUGAGUUUCUUGUGCACCUCUAAAAUGACUUGGAUUUGCACGAGUUUUAUCUGAACUCGUUGGAUUGAUUCUGCAUGGCCAAUCGAAAGAAGCAGAUCAGAGGUUGAUAGAUUGAGAGUGAAGAUCCAUGUUUGAAGAAUGUAGUUGUGGAAUGAUCUUCAUCAUCUCAUUAUGCUGUUGGUUGAAACCAUCAGAUUUUGUUGGAGCUUUACCGAGCCAAAGAUGAUUAAUAGGCUUAUUUCUUGAAAGGUUAUAUGCAUCUAAUACAUUAGCACUCUAUAUUUUUUAUUGAUUGUUAAUGUAUCAAAAUCUUACUUCCUUUCUUUAUCUUUUUAAUUAACUAUUCCAAGUUCUAGAGAAGCUAA